GACGAACGCUGGCGGCGUGCUUAACACAUGCAAGUCGAACGGAAAGGCCCUGCUUUUGUGGGGUGCUCGAGUGGCGAACGGGUGAGUAACACGUGAGUAACCUGCCCUUGACUUUGGGAUAACUUCAGGAAACUGGGGCUAAUACCGGAUAGGAGCUCCUGCUGCAUGGUGGGGGUUGGAAAGUUUCGGCGGUUGGGGAUGGACUCGCGGCUUAUCAGCUUGUUGGUGGGGUAGUGGCUUACCAAGGCUUUGACGGGUAGCCGGCCUGAGAGGGUGACCGGCCACCAUGGGACUGAGGUACGGACCAGAAUCCUACGGGAGGCAACAGUGGGGAAUUUUGCACAAUGGGGCGGAGCCUGAUGCAGCAACGCCGCGUGCGGGAUGACGGCCUUCGGGUUGUAAACCGCUUUCGCCUGUGACGAAGCGUGAGUGACGGUAAUGGGUAAAGAAGCACCGGCUAACUACGUG
rnacentral:rRNA from 1 species